rnacentral:sRNA from 1 species
UCGAAAGACAUUCAUUCAAGAGAUCCUAACGUGAUUAUCGUAAAUAGCUGGAAUUGUAGAUAUUUACAAUGACAUAGAUCAUUUUUCUUCGACGUAAUUACGGCCUAAUGUCGAGACAAGAAUAAUAUGACGCUGAUCUGUGUUUUGACAAGAAUAUGAAUGAUCUUAAGAAAAGGCUUCGCUGAAUCAAUUGGAAGACAGCGUCUUCAAUUGUCCUACUAAAUUCUUUACGGAUGACAUCUGGGUCUAGGGAGAUCAUGCAAAAAAAUAAGACAUCAUUUAUAACUUUCAACCUUCCGCUCACAGGACAAAUUCUCGAAGACGCUACGAAAAGAUGCUGAGCUUGAUCAUAAUUCUUCAGGCUCCCAAUUCAAGAAUACAAUUACUUAGCGUGGGUGCUUCUGCUCAGUCUUCGUUUCCUAUCUCCACAUACGAAUCACUCGCUUGUUACUAAUUCGAAUAAUUUACUGCUGUAAGGAGUCGUACCGCCAACUAAAUCUGAAUAACAAUUUGGCUGCUAGAAGUCAAAAAGUAGGCGCUGCAAUGAUUAUGUGGUAUGAUCAGAUUGUGUCGCAACAUUCAGCGGGGUUUUGACUCAAUGGGACCGCUGCUAAUAAAGUGUUUAACUAGCGAAUUUUGGAACACACCCGUUGACAAAAGUAUAAGGAGUCUCUUUCCGUGAGUUCCCCUCUUCCUCUCACUGCACUUCAACUAUGCCUUAUAGCAACCAAGAAGCUAGAAAAUGCCAACUAUUAAAAAGAUAACCUCUUUGGAAUUAAAUAAAACGGAGAUUAUCUUGGGAUCUAUUUCACAAAUUUACGGCUAAUUGGAAUGAACAGCGCCAAGUAGCACUGGACAAACUGCAGAGAGUAUUAGAACUUGCUUUAUUCCGUAUAUCGUACUUUAGGUCGUCAGUUUUACCACUUCGGUACGCAAAUGAAAAUAAAAAGCUCAUUCACAACUUAGACACAAUUUCGCCGUUUACAAGUAGCUGAAAAGUCCAUCUAUCGAAUUAUGAAUGAUACUAUUUUAAAUAUCGUCGUUACUGCACUCGUUUUCCACGUUCUUUUUAUCCACACAUCCGAUGUUUUAUUUACAGUUGAGCAUCUCAGGGCCAGCGACAAAUAUAAACAUAUUAUACUCAAAAUGAAGCUCGUUGAAAAGAGAAUAUUUCUUAACCUCUUUUACAGUGCUUUCAACACCUUUUCACCUGUGUGCCAUGUCAGAUUAAGGAUGCUCAACUUUUCGAAUUAUUAUUACAAAUUUCAAAGAAAUUACUAGUCCUUUUUGUCCCCUAAUGUAUCCCUCAUUUCAUACCGUCGUUUUGGGGUUCCAACUACGUAUAGCUUUCAAGUGUGGUUUUACGGUAAGAACAACCCCCCAUCGGUUGGUGCGGAAUACUUUCCUAUUCUCAUCGAGAGCCGAGCCAUACAUCUAAGGUGGACAGAAAGCUAAAAUUCCAAAACAGAAAAAUCUAACAUCUUUGCUCCCUUACAAGUAGGAACGCUGGCGUAUCAACCCGUCUCCAGAUUUGCCCAGCAUUUCUGUAGAACACCCAAUGCGAAUGAAGACUAAUGAAUAUUGUAAAGACAAAAAAUAGGAAAAGUUUAAUUAGUGAUGGUUCUCACCACCCCAAAACGGUCACUUGCAUGCAUUGAGGACAUGCACCUGCAGUACUUGUUUUUCUCGAAUGUUUUUACCAUCUCUUUUUUCCUUAUCUGAGCUACUGACGCAGACGGACAUUGUUUCAUAUUUCGAAAGCUGUGCGGGAAAACGGAUCCUAACACGAAUGUGAAUGCGCUAAUCAAUAUUUCCACCACAUGAAACCUGCUACUUUUUCAGUCCUCUUCGUAUGCAUUUCCCAAAAUUCAUUCGUAGCCUUGUCAACUUAGACUCAGUUCCACGGCGUGCAGGACGGGGUAUUAUGAAUAAAAGGAUCCACGGGUGAGAUUUGUUCUGUGUUUUAGGUAUGGAGUUUUGUACCACAAAACUUUAGGAAUACCGGAUUUUGUGCCUACGCCAGCCCCAGAGUAUGUUCUCACAGCUGUAAUUCCUAGUGAUCUUUUCCUGGCUCCAAUAGGAACGCCGGUAGGCAAAUUAAACUUUCGCGGCAGGAAAAAAAAGGCUUUUUCUUUUUUGCCUUUCAGUUUCUCGGAAUGUGGCAUUACAUAAGCAUAAUCCUUUUUGGGUGUGCCUGGAAAGUUCAAAUUAAGGUUUUUUUCUUCUGUUUUCUUGACAAGAAAAUGUCGCCCAAAGAGUUUCGGCCGUUAUUUUUCCUAUCGAAGUGGGUCCUUUUUGUCUUUAGUCCUUCUCUGGGGCUAGCGAUCACUGCAAAAUUAGGCUUCACUGGUACGAGUUAACUUUUUUUCUUUUUUUUUGUCAUCCUUUUCUUUGGGGCUAAGAACGGACUUCCCUUUUCUUUUUCUUUGUUGCAGCAGUGGCUUCAAAGAACUGCUGAUUGCUCAAGGCAAUCAGUCCGAGCGUUUAGAAGGUGAUUGUAGGCAGAAAUUAACUUUGCGGUAAAAGAAUGACAUUCUUUCUUAAAAGAAAAAUUAGCUUUUUUUUGUCAGGCAUUGCACAAACUUUUUUAUUUCUGCCUAUACUCUUAAACAGAUCAGUCAUUCAUGUUGUCUUUUUAACGGUCGUACUGGGACAUCGCAUGCCUUGGGAUUCCGUAAUUAGGUGCAACAAUACGGGCACAACUCAUUCUGCGCUAUCUUCACGGACUGAACUUCUAUUGCCUAUCGGUGGUGUGAUUAACAAUUGGAAGCGCAGAGCUUGGAAUGGAUUUCCAAUUCAAUGGAUUUGGAGGUAUUCGUUUGUUUACUAAUAUUUACUUUGAGGACAUUGCCCAACCCUAAAAGUGCCUGUUCCAGAAUAGAAUAACAUUAUGAUACGUUUUCUUGACCGCUGAGCAAUUUAAAGCAAUUAUUAGGGUACGAUUGUUUCUAGAGAAAUGUGGGUCAUCUUUUUAGGUCCAUUCUCUUCUGAUGAGGUAACCUUUACAAAAAUGUCAUAGAGUUACCAAUUGGGAUUCAAGGCAUCAUCGCAAUAUACUUCGUUCUCUUACGGAGAAAUUAAGCACUUUCUACUUUGAAUUAACUGUUAGACUUGUCUUAUCUGAGGAAUGUCCGUGUUCAAAUUAAAUAAAAAUUUAGGGCAGUUUUAUUUACCUUAACAAAUAUGUUCAAGCAUGUACGU